UGGCUCAGGAUGAACGCUGGCGGCGUGCUUAACGCAUGCAAGUCGAACGGGAACCUCUGGAUUCGUCUGGAGGGGAGAGUGGCGAACGUGGUGAGUAACACGUAUGUGACCUGCCUCACAUACGGGGAUAACCACUGGAAACGGUGGCUAAUACCCGAUGGUCUCGGUGAUUCGGUUCAUCGAGUAAAGGCUCUGGCGCUUUGAGAGGGACCUGCGGCCCAUCAGCUAGUUGGUAGGGUAACGGCCUACCAAGGCGAAGACGGGUAGGGGGCGUGAGAGCGUGACCCCCCACACUGGCACUGGGACACUGUCCAGACUCCUACGGGAGGCAACAGUGACGAAUAUUGCGCAAUGAGCGAAAGCUAGACGCAGCAACGCCGCGUGGGUGAUGAAGGCCUUCGGGUCGUAAAACCCUUUUCUGGGGGAAGAGUAAGGACGGUACCCCAGGAAUAAGCCUCGGCUAACUAUGUGCCAGCAGCCGCGGUCUUACAUAGGAGGCAAGCGUUAUCCGGAUUUACUGGGCGUAAAGAGCGUUGAGGCGGCUACGUAAGUUGGACGUGACAGCUCCCGGGUUAACUGGGAGAGGCCGUUCAGUACUGCGGGGCUUGAGGGCAGCCGAGGGGGGUGGCAUUUCCGGUGUAUCCGUGACUUGCGUAGAUGUCGGCUGGAACACCAUUGGCGAAGGCUGGCCCCUGGGCUGCUCCUGACGCUGACGGCGAAAGCUAGGGUAGCGAACGGGAUUUGAAACCCCGGUAGUCCUAGCCGUAUACGAUGGCUACUA
rnacentral:rRNA from 1 species